AGGAUGAACGCUGGCGGCGUGCCUAACACAUGCAAGUCGAACGUCCUGUCUCGCAAGAGGCAGGGAGUGGCGGACGGGUGAGUACCACGUGGGUCAUCUACCGUGAGGUGAGGAAUACCGGCGAGAAAUCGCCGACAAGACCGCAUAGGCUCGAUGCAAGUCGAGCAAAGCUCUUUCGAGAGAGGGAGCGCCACACGAGGAGCCUGCGCCCGAUUAGCUAGCUGGUGGAGUAACGGUUCACCAGGGCGACGAUCGGUAGCUGGUCUGAGAGGACGAUCAGCCACACUGGGAUUGAGAACGGCCCAGACUCCUACGGGGGGCAGCAGUGAGGAAUUUUCCGCAAUGGGCGCAAGCCUGACGGAGCAACGCCGCGUGCAGGAAGACGGUUUCGGAUCGUAAACUGCUUUUCUCGGGGACGAGAACGGACGGUACCCGAGGAAUCAGCCCCGGCUAACUACGUGCCAGCAGCCGC
rnacentral:rRNA from 1 species